CGAGAGCAAGAGUUGGAUUUAAUUGAUAAUGUAAGUACUGAGAUAAAUUAUAAAUGUGUAUUUUCCAUUAUCUAUACAUUCACACGAUAUUUACAAAUGAAAUAAGUAAUAUACACAAAAUAUGUACGAUAUUUAUGGACAUAACCCAAUACCCAAAUUUGCGUGAAAUUUAUAUCAUAUGCAGAAUAUUUGGAAUCAUAAUUGGUGUUUUCUUCAACACUAUUGUCACUGUUUUGAAUACACUUUACGAUAUGUCUUUGUAUUUAGCCCCUAGACAAACUUAUGAUUCAAGAAAAGCUAAAGCUAAUACAAUUGGAAGAUUAGAUAUGUUGUAACUGUUGUAACUGGUGUAACUUUAGUUAAAACUAUUAAGUGGCAUUACUAAUUAGCGAAUCUGCAGAAUUGAAACGAGAAUGAAAUGAAAUACAAAAAAAGGUAAACAAACGUAGAAAAGAUCCACUUCGUUUGACGUAGAUUGUUAUCGUUGGAAUGGAAGCUAAUUUGAAGUGUGAACAUAUGGUUUUCAUUUACAGUUUUCAAACUAAAAUAUCUAUUCAGUAUCUUCUCUUUUAAUUGCUUUUAUUCUUAUAGAAGACGAAAACAAUUGUAUGAUACUAUGGAUGUUAUAUUCUUCUUUAUGUCCGCUUAAAUCCAAUUGAUGUAUUUUAACUGAAAUUACUUGAGGUGAUUACUCCGCGCAACAAAAAUAGUUUAACGAACAGUAUAAAUUUCGUCAAAUGCCUUGCAUUGCUGUGUGGUGAUUUCAAACUUUUGCAAUCGUUAUUUGAAUAUUUGUGUGCACACCAAUAUCUUUAUUUUGUAACAUGAUCAAUAUAUACAAAAAAUUACACUAGAGUGAGUCUCAAGCCUUAUCACUUUGUCUAUGGAUGGGUGUACUGUUCCUAUUUAUUAUAAUCAAGGAACAGCCUAGGCUUUGGCUUAUUUUGAAGUAUCGAGCUUAUUGCAUGGAUUGGAGCCAGAAAAAGCCUGAAACAUUAUUUUAGACAGAAUAAUUAUUUUCUAUUGCGUUUUGAUGCAAAUGGAACAUCUGUACAACAUGAAUCAACACGUCAUUAUAUUUCUUUAUCCAAAAUACGGUAACAUAUAAUACUGAUUAAGAGAAAAAUAAGCCGAACAGAAAAUGAUUAUUUUGCAAGACAGUCAGAAUAUAAUUCAUUUUUAGUUAUCGAUUUUAUGAACAGAAUCGGAUUACUCGUUUCUGAUAACUCCGUUCAAUAGAAUGUGAUGUCGACAAAAAAAACUUUGUAUUCUUAAACGGCUGACAGCUAGUCUGCCAAAAAUGGGAAUUGGCGAUCAACGCGAAUAUUAUUUAGAGUUUAUGUUUCUUUUGAAAGCAAAGUGUAAACAAAACCAGACGGUUAGGUUUUGUGCAUGCGACACAAUUUGAAAUAAAUAAAUUGGCUUUGAGAUGUAUUGGAGGCAUUUGCUUAUGAACGAAUUCAAACUGAAUUGGCUUGCAUCAAAUGUAAUUAUGCAUCACUAGUAGCCUCAAUUAAACGCAAGGUCUUCCUUUGGGCGAGAAUAUCGACAUUAUGACAUCGGUCGAAAACAACUUGGAAUAUUUGGAACGUGAAGAAUUUCACGAGAAAUAUAAAAAAGUGUUGAAGCGAAAUCAAUGAUGUGUUGUGUCAGAAUAAGGAACCAUCUCAAAUUUACGUCAAAGACUUGACUCCGCGCGAGAUCGUAUUAUUCAAAUACGCGCCAACAACAUCCACCGAUUUUAAAAGGUCUUUUUCUGAUUACAAAAAUGUUUCUUGAGACAGACGCAAAAAAUUUCUAUGUUUUUGAAAACCUCAAACAUCACGUGAUUGUGCAUUACAACUGCGACAAAUUAUAAAAACGUUUCUUUUUAUUAACUAAAUUGGUUAUUUUGGUGUUUUAUUCGUUUUUUAUCGAGCCUAUUUACGAGCCUAUUUAGUCAUUUUUCCAGCUUUUUUAGGCGCCUAAAAUUCAUUUUUCCGAGCCUAAUUUUAUCUUCCUUGAUCAGUUCCGUGAAAACCGUGAAAAACCGCGACGACCCGCUAAAAAUGAACUUCUCUUUAUUGCUACGAAUUUGGACAAACUUGUGUUCUUCUAGGUCUCACCAAUUUUUUUUUUUGAUUAUUUGGGAUUAUUUUUGUACUAGAUUGCAUUAUUUGAAUUAUACAAAUCUAGUACUUUCCCCCUUGCUAUGAACUCAUAGGAACAUUCUUAAACUUCGAAAUUUUGUUGACAGGCAUAUGGGACUCUUUAGUGCUAAUUAAAUUUCACAGUUCAAGAAUGUUUCUAUGCGUUCAUAUGAGAGGGAUAUGAUAUGAAGGGUUUUUGGUUGUAAACAAUAAAAUAUACUGCGGAAAAAGCUAGUAUACAAUAUAUUGUAUAGCUAGCCUAUAGGUAUGCUAUUUUCUAAAUACAUUAUUCUGAUAUAUUCCUGGCAAAAUUCAACAGUCAGGACACGAUAUUUUUUCAUAUUGUAAAUUUUUACAAUAGCGAAUGCGCUAUUAUAUUGUCACUCAAAAUGGUAUCGGUUGUUCUAAUUGGUAAAUACACGCACAGUGUCACUCCAUUUUAACCUCAUCAAAAGGUUUUUCAUCUGAUAAAAUGAGGACCAGUAGCAAUACUGAUGAAGUACCAAAUAACGACAACAAGCAUUGAUGAGCGCUGAUAGAAACUUCAUUGCUUAUUUAAUGGUGAUCCGGAUAGGUGAAAACGAUGAAUAUAAACAACAACUUAAAGAGGAACCUAACUACAAGAAAAAUAGCGAUAACUUCAAGUUGCAAUUUCCUCAAAGUGUCAUAAAUCAAGAACAACACAUACUUUUGAUACGAAGAAGGGUAAGAAUAUACUUAAGCAAGCACACGCUCAUCACCGAUCAAACGAAUGAAAGCGUCACAAUUGACUGAAACAAUGAAGUAAACGUAGUUUUUUCUACGUUGUUUUUGCUCAUGCGAUGAAUAUUUUUAAGAGAACAAACAUUUUCGAAAAAGAAAAAAAUGAGAAGAUGACGAUAUGAAAAGUUGAGUGAACGCAUCGAGAAUUCGUUAUGCUCUUGCCGCACUAUACUAAUACACAUUGCACAAGAACAAUUACCGGAUUAUGGCAAUUCUGAGCUCAUCCAUCGAAUAAGCCACAAUUGAUAUUCAUAUGCAUUAAAAUGAAUGCCAUUAAUGUAAUUACAAUUCUAUGGGUGAGAUUGGGAGUAGAGUAUGUGUUUUCUUUGAUUUAAAUUUUUGAAAAGGCGAGUGAGUAUGUUUUCUGAUGAUUCUGUUAGCGUUAAAGUAGAGUAUGUUUUCGCGAAACCAAUAAGAGAUAUAGACAAAGCUGUAGUACUUGAGGUCCUUUAUAACUUUGCUGAAGACAGUUAUCUAUCAUCCGAAUCAUUAAGAUUUUUUUUGACCCCCCUUUUCAUAAAAUAAAACCGUAACAUAAAGUUGUUAAGUCAAUUGUUUUGAUUUGCGUUGGUAUUGGUUGUCUCCACUGGGUCGGUGCCACCGUGUUAAGUAUAUUUGCUGUCGUGCGUGAGUGAAAGAGAUUCUUUCACUCUCUCCGAUGCGUUGUAAUUUCGCAAUGUUUCACAAAGUGAAAAUAAAAGUGAAACAUACCUAUGUUUUUCUUUCAUUUUCACUCUGAACAUGUUGCAUUGGCACAACUUUACUUUACAGAACUAUUUGGAAUAUGAAUAUUUUUUUGAUUUUCUUUUUGCUCUAGAUUGCUUAUGGUCACUACAUUUCAUUUCUAGGGUGCGAUUCGCAAUUUCAUGAUGUCAGGAAUACAUGGAAUCAGACCAAAUCCUGAGAACCCAUGGAUCAGCCCGAAUCCAUUGGAUUUGAACUUUGGGCCAUAAAACCAGCCGGGUGUCUAUGGAACUCAGACGUAGGAGAUGAUGCAGAGAAAUUUUUGCCAAGUGACAUCGCAAGUGUUGUGAAUCUGAUCAUCAAACAAAAAGACAUCAAAGUGCCAAGUCGCGAUCCAAACAAACUCGUACGGUGUGAGGUGUUGUAUGAUAUCGUGAGAGAUUGCAAUGUGUUCCCAGAAAUCGAUCUGCAUGACCUUACAACUGACCCAAAACAUUGGUAUAAGGCCAUGCCAAUGUACCUAUCUAUGCAGCGCGAGAUAGAAGAGUACAAUUCGGAGUGGCCACAUCAGCGCCGACCCAAACGUAAGAAAAGAAAGCGAAAAAAGACAAAAGGAAAAUGGAAACGCAAGCGCAGCCAAAUGCUCGACAACCCAGAUUUUCGGCCAUUCAUCCGAAAUUUAGUAGUGGUGCCGAUGUGUGAUUUCCGGCGUACGCACUUCAGAAUCGAUUGUUCAUCCAUGCACCAGGUGUUGUCUUCGCAAAAAUUGCUACCGAAAGUGGAAAUCGAGAAUAAAAAAGGAACAACAAGCACGAAAACGAUUCAACAAAAGGAUUUCAACCGGGACAGAGAUUAUUGGUGGAAUCAGUAUUUUUACAUGCGAAAAAUUCGACGAUUCGUGCGUGCCAAAAAGCAGUUUGACUAUUCCAUAAACACCGAUGGAAUCUCUGUGUCUCUUCAGUACUCGGCCAAAAAGAAGACAGCCAACAAAGAAAUCGACCAAAAAUCUCGCAUCAUUCAGAAGAUUGAGGAUGGCACAAUCAAAAAUUUUUCGGGCGUUGAUACAGGCGUGCGAAGUUGGAAUACCACAACAACACACGACAUUGAAACUGGCAAAGAAACCAACUUUGUAAUGUCGAGCAAGCAAUUCCACUGGCAAACAGGUCAAAAGGUGCGAAAUGCCAAAGCAAAGCGAUGGACCAAAAAUUUCGUCGAAAUGGAGCGCGCAGACAGAGAAAACCGUGAUCUGUAUCCAGUGAUGCCGUCGCCAAAAGGGUCAAUGUGGCUGAACUACAUCAAACACCGAGUCAAGAUGAUGAAGCAUGGAAUCUGCGCUUACUCGACUGCCAAAUACACUCGACUCGCCUUGGACAAACACAUCAAGAGCAGUAGUGUUGUCGACGAAUGGGUGAAUAAGGUGACCGAUAAGAAACCGACUCUGUUCUUUUUUGGUGCUGAUGGCGAAAUACCACCUGAUAGCCCAAUAAGUAUCAAGAAGCACGUGCGCUGCCCAGGGGUGCGUAAGACUUUGAGGUCAAUAAAGAAGCGCCGAGAUUGUUUCAUACAAUUGGUGGACGAAUGGGGAACAUCUCAAACCGACGCAAGAUGUAUGAAUCGAUUCCAAAACCAGAACAAAGCGGCCAGAUUCAAGAAAUGCCGAUGCGUACCCGACGCCAGAACAUUGCUGCCAACGAAAAUUGUGUCAAAGUUGGGCAAAACGGAUCUAUCGAUCUACCGACAGUUGCAACGCGCCAUGAACGAAGAAGCAUUGGUAGGAGACGAGCGUUUAUUCCCAAAAGUAAAAUGUUACUACAAAAACUGGCGAUUAAACCUCGAAUGCUCUGUGAUUUGGCAUCGUGACGUCGUGGCUGCUAAGAACAUUCUACUGAAAGGACUAUGGACAUUACUGGGACUUCCGAUACCAGAGGCGAUCAAUAGGUAUUGGCGCGAAGCUGCUGAAGCAGCCGCUGCUGUUGCCGCUGCUGCUGCCGCUAGAGCAGCCGCUGCUGCUGCCGCUAGAACAACCGCUGAAGCAGCCGCUGCUGCUGCCGCCAUCGUGGAUAAUGAUGUAGAAAUGUUCGAGUACGACCAGCAGCCAGCUGAUCAUGCUGUCUAAUCAGCACAUUGCAAACAAAAAAAAAAAACAAAUGUAACAUUAGUUAUUAAAGGCUAUCCCGAUCAUGUGGGAUAGUUGCGUUGAAGCAAGUUGACUCCCCAUCUGGUUGAUGUUAACUGCGCAGGAGUACUCUAGUGGGUCGUUUAGAUUAGCUGAACACCCUAGUGUAGAGACCUUGUGAGAAUAUAAACGACACAUAUUGUAGAUGUGAUAAAGUUAACAAAAA